GUAACAUAAGCAGCUUUAAUUUUCAUGAAUGGCCUUACAAGACAUGAGAAAAAUAAUUUUUGAAAUGCUCAAAUUGGUGGAAACAGAGGGAUUAAGAGUCAUCUUAUUGAAAGCUGGGGACAGGUGAUAUCCUUUAUCUAAUUUCUAGCCACUUGAUUUUGCAAUACUGAUGAUAAAAAACAAUAUAUGUUUAAUGGCAUAGUGAUAAAAUGAAUUGUGUUAAUUAAUCAAAUAGUAUGUCAAUUAUAGAUUUUAUAUUUAACAAAUCAGGGCUCAUGAUUUCUAUAUGAAUAUUUAUCAAUGAAUCAUAUGGACUACACCAACACAAACUUUAUUUCAUAUAUUUGGAAAAUAGACAUGUGUGUGUGUGUGUGUGUGUGUAUUUCUAUGUAUGUGUCUUUAUUGAUAUGAAUCUGGGCAGAUGAAUAAAUGAGUUUUUCAAAAAGCAGGUAGGAAUAGAUAAAAAAAAAAAAAAGAAGUGAUUGAAUGGUAUAGCACUGAGAACCACCCUACUUUAACUUCUGAUGCUAGUAAAUAAAAUAUAUUUGAAAUAUCUGGGAAACCUGCCAGAUGAGAAAUAUUGAAUAUAUUUUCAAGUUUUUUUAAAGGUUAGAUUGAGGCAUAUAACAAAACAUCCUCAAAGAAUGGGAAAAAUCAGUCAAUCAUAUGUAUGUGGAUACAGGAUGCAAAGCAUCUAGCUAUGAUUGAAUGACUAAUUUUCACACUUCCUCUCAUCCUAGGCAUUUUACCCAAUAUUUAGAAUCAUGCAGAUAGAGUUGAACUAAUAAGCUUUGUAGGAUUUAAACAUAAAUAGGUGAAAGAAGAGAUAAUGUCUGUGAAAACAUUUUGAGAAUUGAAAAUGACCACAUAAAAUAUUGUUUUUAAUUAAUGACUCUGUUAACACCAUUAACUAUUAAGUCAUAGGAUAGAAGACAAAUGGCAGUUUUCUUGGGAACUUUCUAAUAGAUUAGAUUCCUUUGUUCUGUUCUUACGUGCUGGGACCAUGCAAGUAGGGAUGAGAAAGGAUGCUGAAAACAAGAUUCUGAAGCCAUUUCUUUCUUUGUGGAUCUCCGCAUUUCAAUUGUAUUUUUGGCUAAAAUAUUUCCUUUGUGAUAAGUUUAUUGAAUAGAUUUGAACAUAAUGAUUAAGAGCGUAAAUCAAGAGAACAAAAUUUGUUUUUUAUCAGAAGUGAGAUCUUGGGCAAGCUGUGUAAUCCCUCUAAGCCUUAUUUCCUCACCUGUAAAAUGUGGGAUAACAGUAAUUGUUAUUAUUUAUUUUCUGUAGGGUAUAUGCUAGUGCUUUCUUACAUUAAUGCUUACUCUUCAGGAUUUAUUUUAAGCAGUGUUCUAUAACAGCCUUAGCAUCUUGUCAGCACAUAGAAUCCCUUUAUCCACAUAAUAUUGAUUGCAUUAAAAAUUAGAAUCAAUAAUUCUAUUCAGUAUAUUUGCUGUUCCUUAAAAUAUAGCAAGUCAUGCAAUAUGUAAUCAAUAUAUUCUUGUUCUACUUUCACACUCAUCUCUCCAAUCUGUCAGAUUGAACCACAGUAUAGUAGAAGAAGGAUGAAGUAAAGUGAGCAAAAUCCUUAUGUCUAGUCCCUGAAGAGUGCCCACAUGCAAGACAGCAAGACCUCAGUGUCUGGGAACUGUCUAUAUCUGUCAUUCUGACCACAUGUCACCUCUGCUGGCUGUCCUUUCAUUCUCCAGUGCUCAGCCUCUUCACUUACACUGUUUCCAUCUGCUUUCUCACCUCCUGCAGACUAGCUGCAGCUUGAAAAUCCCAUCUCCCUCAACUAUGCUUAUUCUCUCUCUAAGGGGCCUUACAUGACAUCAGAAAUACUUAAUGAUACAGUCUGAGUCAUACACAUUUGGAUUACUGUACCCUCAUUUUAGCUUGCCCAACAGUACUAAGUGAAUAUUCUUUUUGUAAUUAUAAGACUAUGAGUGAUUCUGGGCCCCUUCUAAAAAAAGAAGUCACACUCUAAGAUAACUUGCCAUCGUGAAUCUGCAUCUAAGCUUUGCCAUCACUUUUAAUGCAAGUGUUUCAAGAAGGAUGACAGGUAGAUAAGUAGGCAGACAGAGAGACAGCCAUAGACCCAGAUCUGGACCUGUGCAGGUGUAGAUAUAUGGUAUAGAUCCUAAAUAUAGUCAUGGUUAAAGACAGAGCUCUAGAGUAUCUCCUGCCUCAUCUGUCCCUGGCUAACUGGGGUGAUGAAGGCUGCUGUAUGAACCCAGGAAGGGUGGUGGGGGUGUUCCCUUUAACAUAGCCCAGCAGUGGUAGUCUUCUGAACAUAGGCACAGAAACAUUUCCAUCAGCUUACACAGUUCUUUAGACUCACAAGAAACUGAGUUUAUUGUUAAGAAUGCCAAUUUAUUACUCUAAUUGUAGCUAAAGCUAGGAAUGAGGAUGGAUCAGCCACAUGCAGAGGGCAUAUGAGUGAUCAUAUACAAGUUCAUGGUAAGGAAAACACCCAGAGAAUGUUUGCCAUAAAAAUACUUGCACCAUAUCGAUAUAGCCUGGGGUAAUUUCCCUUUGUACUUUAAGGAUAUUUAUAUCUCAAGGGCAUUUUGGUUCAACAUGGGGCAACUCUGAUGAGUCAUUGUAGCUGCAGGGCACCCAGUGCGGUCAGACAAGGCUGUCAUUGCACUUGCAUCACAGCUCAAGAUUUUCUUCUGCUCCACCUGGCUCUCAUGUGAACAAGAGCUGGCCCUUGUGUAUUACAUUUGCAUUUCCUGUAUACCUAUCUUGGCUGCUCUAUUCACUACCUUUUUAUACCUAUCCAUUCUUUUUCUCUUUUUUUCUAAAGUUUUGUUCCCUUUGAAGACUCUUGCUCUUAAAACAAGGAGUAUCCAAAUUCAUCACUUAAAAGUCAAUCUUCCUACAGGUUUCAUCAUGGAAUUUUUGAAUCUAUUCUGAUUGCACUAGUUAUCCUUUAGUGAAACUAUUUUUAUUUCACAGACUUAGAGUCUCUCGAACUUGGUAUGCAACUCUGGGCAAAAGCAUUUGAAUGUGUGUUUUUCAUUUUGAUUAAGAAAUGAGAGCACUUUGAAGAUACAUCCAUGAUGCUGGCUACCCGUAAAGAAAAUAAACUGAGUGUCAAUGGAACAGACAGAGAAUCAGAGAACAAAAGAAAGUCAAGAGAUUUACCCAAGCUCUGAUGUUGGUUUCAUGGCUUGGAUCAAGGAGGGCAGCCUAGGUUGACUGAGAUUGACUGCCUGGCUAGCUGUGCUGAGAAGGAUCAUGAGGCUGUUUGGCAGCAACACUGCUAUCCUUACCUUAGAUGGAGGCAUUGGAAAACAGGUAAAUGAAACAGUGAUUUUAAAAUGAUAUAAUAGUGUUUAGUGGUUAGAUUUCACCCAAUUGACUUUUUAAAAGGAAAGUCUCAUUUACUGAACAAAAAUAUGUUGAAUAACUAUAUGUCUGGGAAAAUAGUAGGCACUGUAAGAAGCAAAAUAAAAGAUGACAUUAUGUUGGGCUGGGUGCAGUGGCUCACACCUGUAAUGCCAGCACUUUGGGAGGCUGAGGCAGGUGGACCACAAGGUCAGGAGAUCGGGACCAUCC
rnacentral:lncRNA from 10 species